rfam:Jatropha curcas cultivar GZQX0401 scaffold1266_11, whole genome shotgun sequence.
AUUUUAUGAUGAGGGCACUUUCUCAACAAGUCCUUGAACAUUUCCCAUGCCUCAUUAUUGGCUCAGUCUCACCCUGUACAAAAGAAGAAACUUCAUUUAAUAUU